UAGGAAAGAAAUCGUUAAGGGCGUAUGGCGGAUGCCUAGGCUUUCAGAGGCGAAGAAGGACGCGGUAAGCUGCGAAAAGCUGCGGGGAUCGGCACACACGAAUUGAUCCGCAGAUGUCCGAAUGGGGCAACCCGGCAUGUUGAAGACAUGUCACUCCGCAAGGAGAGCAAACCCGGAGAACUGAAACAUCUAAGUACCCGGAGGAAAAGAAAUCGAAGAGAUUCCGUAAGUAGUGGCGAGCGAACGCGGAUUAGCCCAAAAGUCUUUAUAUAUUUAAAAGAAUGUUCUGGAAAGAACAGCCAUAGAGGGUGAUAGCCCCGUAUUUGAAAGGUAUAUUUGGAUGAUAAAUGAGUAGGGCGGGACACGUGAAAUCCUGUCUGAAUAUGGGGGGACCAUCCUCCAAGGCUAAAUACUCCUGAAAGACCGAUAGUGAACAAGUACUGUGAAGGAAAGGUGAAAAGCACUUCGAAUAGAAGGGUGAAAUAGAACCUGAAACCGUACGCCUACAAGCGGUCGGAGCCCACAUGUUGGGUGACGGCGUGCCUUUUGCAUAAUGAGCCUACGAGUUAAUGUUACUAGCGAGGUUAAGGACUUCAGGUCCGGAGCCGGAGCGAAAGCGAGUCUGAAUAGGGCGCUUAGUUAGUAGUAUUAGACGCGAAACCUUGUGAUCUACCCAUGGGCAGGUUGAAGCUUUGGUAACACAAAGUGGAGGACCGAACCGGUUGACGUUGAAAAGUCUUCGGAUGACCUGUGGGUAGGGGUGAAAGGCCAAUCAAACUGGGAGAUAGCUCGUACUCCCCGAAAUGCAUUUAGGUGCAGCGUCGUGUAUAAGUUUAUUAGAGGUAGAGCUACUGAUUGGAUGCGGGGGAGUCAAAUCCUACCAAUUCCUGACAAACUCCGAAUGCUAAUAAAUGUUCCACGGCAGUGAGGGCGCGGGUGCUAAGGUCCGUGUCCGAGAGGGAAAGAACCCAGACCAACAGCUAAGGUCCCCAAAUCUCUAUUAAGUUGAAGCAACGCGGUUGGACUGCAUUGACAGCUAGGAUGUUGGCUUGGAAGCAGCCAUUCAUUUAAAGAGUGCGUAACAG
rnacentral:rRNA from 1 species